rnacentral:rRNA from 16 species
GGAUGGGAUCAUACCAGCACUAAAGCACCGGAUCCCAUCAGAACUCCGMAKWUMAGCGUGCUUGGGCGAGAGUAGUACUAGGAUGGGUGACCUCCUGGGAAGUCCUUGUGUUGCAUUCC